rnacentral:rRNA from 1 species
GAUGAACGCUAGCUACAGGCUUAACACAUGCAAGUCGAGGGGAAACGGCAUCGAAAGCUUGCUUUUGAUGGGCGUCGACCGGCGCACGGGUGAGUAACGCGUAUCCAACCUGCCCAUCACUUGGGAAUAACCUUGCGAAAGUAAGACUAAUGCCCAAUGACAUCCCACGAAGGCAUCCGAAUGGGAUUAAAGAUUUAUCGGUGAUGGAUGGGGAUGCGUCUGAUUAGCUUGUUGGCGGGGUGACGGCCCAUCAAGGCAACGAUCAGUAGGGGUUCUGAGAGGAAGGUCCCCCACAUUGGAACUGAGACACGGUCCAAACUCCUACGGGAGGCAGCAGUGAGGAAUAUUGGUCAAUGGGCGAGAGCCUGAACCAGCCAAGUAGCGUGCAGGAUGACGGCCCUAUGGGUUGUAAACUGCUUUUAUAAGGGAAUAAAGUGGGUCACGUGUGACUUUUUGCAUGUACCUUAUGAAUAAGGACCGGCUAAUUCCGUG